rnacentral:rRNA from 1 species
UAACGCUGAGGUUUGCACCCAGGCAAUAUUUCUAUAUAUUUGCAUCAAAGGGUGAGUGCCAAGUUUAUCUCUUUGUUUAUAUAUAUAUAUAUAUAUUUUUUAAUUGGGGUAGCCCCCAAAAUAUUGGGACAUAUAAAAAAAAAAGACAACUCUGUUCUGCAGAGUAGCUGUUGACAUUAUAGUUGGGCAGGAACUUUGUUGACUCUAGAGAACCUCGGGCAAAUUGCAAAUCCCCAUGGCGGCGACUUUGCAUGCAGAUGUCAUCCAUAUCAACUUUCAAUGCCAGUUUCUGCGCCUACCAUGGUGACCAUGGGUAACAGGGAAUCAGGGUUCCAUUCCGUACAGGGACCUUGAGAAACGGCUACCACAUGCAAGGAAGGCAGCAGGCGCGCAAAUGACCCAUUCCCGACGCGGGAAGGUAGUGACGACAAAUAACAAUACAGGACUCUUUAGAGGCCCUGUAAAUGUAAUGAGUCCACUUGAAAUCUUUAACUCUGAUCAAUUGGAAGGAAGUCUGGUGCAGAGCCACUGACCCGUGCGUGCUGCAGCUGAAA